rnacentral:lncRNA from 1 species
CGCUUCUUUCAAAAUUGCUAUGAACUAGGGUUUAUAGAGCGGGUUUAGCGGGCGUGUUAGCUGGCUUGCUAGGCAAGGUAGGUACACUCUGUUCAUCUCUAAAGAAAUUCUCAGGAUCCACAGUACUUUUCACCUUCACUAACCGAUCAAAAUUCUCUCCAAAAUACUUCCUACCGUAAACCUCACCUUCUCUGUAACUAUUCGGACCAUGGCUAUUAACUCCAAUAUCCAAAUCCCUGUAAUUCAAAUACGUGUGUCUAGGGUUCUUGGUCACAAAAGGAGCCAUGUAGCUAUAAAAGCUUUUCGCCUUCUCCAAGAAACUGGUCUCAGCUUCAGGCCCCGGAUCUUUCCAGUUCAUCGAGUGCUGCACCUUGUAAAGCUUGGUCCUAUGCGGGAAAGGAGUCUUCGUCGUAGCCACCUCGCUCACCUUCCCACCGUAAGGGUUAAACACAAGACCAAUCUUCCCAACCUCGAUCAUCUUCUUCAUCAAGUAAUCUAACCCUUCUUUAGUAAUCUCCUUCUCCACGAAAUCUGACUUCCUCUUCCCGUAAGACGCCGUAUCCAAGUUACGCUCGAGGAGCACCUCGGGUUUAACCAGCGUAGCGUUGUCGUGGUUGUCCCACCACAGCACGGACUGUAUCCACGUGAGCUCCGUGCAGUUCUCUUGCUUUAAACCAAGCUCGGGGAAGUCUUUGUUUAGUAGAGACAAAACCUCGCUCGACUUGCCGAGAAACAAGGCCAAGACCGAGGCGCGAACAGUCUCGACCUUGUUUCUUGUCACGGGCUGUAACAACACCCUCAUGAAGAGACCAGGGGGACGGUGGUCCGGCGGUGGCGACGUUUUCCGGCGGCGGCGCAUGUACUUCACGCGCACGCAGAGGCGAAACUUCCGGAGGCGCGUGAGGCUUCGUCCGGGCUCCGAUUGAGGCGUGGUUGGUGUCUACUGCUUCGUCUCGACGAGAGGAACACGAUGGUGGUCUUGAAUGCACGAGAUGAUCAAUGGUUAGGAAGUUAUGGGUGAUUUACUAAACAGAAACGAAACUGAGCUUAAGGAAUGCGGUUUCCGGCGGUUACCUAGGGCGUUUAUCGGUGGUGGCAAGCUGAACGUGAUCACAGCACACGGUUGCUCCGGCGACGAGCUCAGGUGAGCUUUCUCUCUCUUUCUCUCUCUCUUUCUCUCUCUCUUUCUCUCUCUCUCCCUCUCUCUUUCUCUUUCUUUCUCUUUAAAGAAGUUGGGGAUGGUGGAGAUGGUGGAAGUGGUGGAGAUGGUGGAGAUGGUGGGGAUAGUGGAGAUGGUGGGUCAUUACAAAUACAUGCUUUUGCUCACGAACUCGACUUCAAUCGUACUAUUCUCUGCAGGUUUGUGACUUCUUCCUCCUCCAGCUUGAUCGUCUAUAAUAAUCUUUGUGUUUUACAGAUGCGGAUUAAUCUAUGUUAACGAAGAAGAUGAAGAAAAGGCGUUGACGUUUGAUGGAAGUGACAUGGGAGGAAGUAUUUUACGAGUUACGGCUUACCCUUUUGACAGCAAUCGCCUUGACCAUUUCUUUGCUACUCCCGAAGCACAAGACAAAUACCGACAGCGCGUGUAAAUUGAUUUUUUUAUUUUAUUUUUUCCUUUCUUAUUUAUUAACCUGUUUGUUCUUGUCCUAAUAUGGUGUCCUGCUAUUUUAGGUUGAAUGUUACAGGAUUUGAUACUUCCCUUGCUAGGGAUGUUCUCGAGGAGAUGGCACGUGGGGUUUUCCCUGGAUCCUAUUGUUCUGUUUUGGGGGAAGUGGUUUUCGUUUAUCUCCGUGGAAAAGAUGCUAUUGAAAAGGCUCUGAAACUUAGCGGACGUUCUGCGGGAGGCUUUAAUCUUGUUGUUAAUGCUGUCCUCCCACUAAGAAAGGAUGGCGGCGGUGGCGUCUCUCUCGCACGUACGUUACUUUCUUCAUUCCUUUUUUUCUUUUUGUUUUGAGAAAACAAAGUGUAAAACCGUUCAUUCAUUUGUAUGUUUGUUUGUUUGUUUGUUUCAGGUAUGUUGGCUAUGGCUAAGAAAGAUGAAGCAGGUAGGUUGGCUGAAGCAGCUAGGUUGGCUAAGAUUAAGAGAACUAAAGCAGCUAGGUUGGCUAAGGCUGAGACAGCUAAAUCAGCUAGGUUGGCUAUGGCUGAGAAAGAUAAAGCAAUUCUAUCCGAGGGAAAUCAGAUGUCGAUCAUGACUACCGACUAGAAAUCUCUCUCUCUAAUGCCGUCUCGUGUUAUUUACUUGUCUUGCAAUGCCACCUCCUUCUUUUCUCUUUUCUGGAUGUUGAAAAUGUUAUGUUUUGUCUGGAUUUUAAAUAUGUUUUUAUGCGCGUGUGUUGGUUUUUAUGAUAAAACUCUGUAAUAACACUGACAAACUUGGUUGUCCAAUCAAAUUUUUAGUAACUUAAAAAGACUUAAGGUUAACAUAUCUACGUUCCCCAAAAUUAAAUAUUUAUCCAAGUCCUCGGCUCCGUUUGAUCAUGCCAAAGCUCUCUUAUUCUUAAAAGUUAACAUUUACCUUAUCAUACACAAGACUCUCUAUUCUUGCACUUGGUCUGUGAGAAACAAUGUAAAAUUAUGAAGAGGCUUAUUAAGUCUAUGGAACUUCAUUCUUCGAAGCAAAACGAAACAAAAAUAAAAUAGAGAUGGAGCGAGUUUCUUCCAUAGCGAGUAAAAUGCCUAACAGGGUUUGAAAAUCAUAUCUCUUACUCCCAACAGUGCGUUGCCCAAAAUGAAAAGGGAAGGCGUGGGGAUAGAACCGAAGGCAGUACGAAUCCCAGUCAGAGAUAUAUUACUGAUCAGAGUUAGAUGAUCACGAACACAUGUGAUAUGUUUGGUAUAUCAGGGUUUGGUUUCAGACACUGAGCCUUAAAUUUAAUGUACAAAGCAUGUUCUUGACAAUAAGCUAGAUUAUUAACUGUUUGUCUCAACAGUGAAGAGUCUGAAGCUAAGCUUUGAAGAAAGGUGAGUCUUGCGGUAUACCAACGCCAUAAAAAUGGUUCUUCUGUUGUGUUUUAUUCACACUGUUCUACAGGGUUCGUUUGUCCACUUUUUUUUCAAAAUAGGUCUAAAAAAGAAUUUUGGAGAAAGACCAAUGUCUUCAUUGCAAAUAAAAAAAACGUUAGUCCAAAAGCGAAAACAAACUAAACUCGGCCGGCCUCGUCAGAGAUUUAAUCGUCGACUGGUGGUGGUGAAGAUGUACGAAUCGGCAAACGUCGCAGAUCGUACGGCUUUCCGGAGAGCAGAGAAAAAUUACAAGCUUUACUACGACCAAGACUCAAAGUUCUCCAGAAAGUAAGCACCUUUUUGUUUUAAAUCUCCUCCCAUUCAUCACUGCCAUUGUUGAAUCCCUUCCUCUUCAAAUCUUCGCAGGAAGAAGCUACCUAAACCGGUUGAUUUGUCAUCGGUUCUCGAUUUCAAUUCAAUUUCACAAGAUUUCAACAGAACCGGUGUUUUACCCGACGGAAUUAGGGUUGCAGAAGCUGAUUCCCAGGUGUUCUGCAUCGAGAAUCGUCCCGGUAAAGUCAAAAUUAUUAUCUAACAGAGUUGGGUUUUUUGUAAUUUGAUUACUGGGUAUGAAGAUUUUCAAUGAAAGGUUGAAACUUAUGUGAAGGUGAAUUUUGAUUUUUGAUUUUAGGGUUUUACUUUAUCGCUAACGCGUUGAGCUUGGAGGAGCAGUGCAAAUGGAUCAAAGAGAGCUUGAUGACUUUCCCUCAGCCUCCGAAUAGAACAAACCACAAUGCUAUUUAUGGUCCAGUUACUGAUUUGUUUGAAUCAGCUAAAGCAAACAAGGUGUUGGUUCAGGAUGAUACUAACAGAUGGAAGUUCUGUGAUGGUGAAGAAGCUAAACAAAGAAGUUGCAAAUCAGUUUCAGCUUCGGUUCUGUUGAGGAAGAUUCGUUGGAGCACUCUCGGUCUACAGUUUGAUUGGUCCAAGGUCGGUUUUUUGGAACUUGUUUGAUGAAAUAGAUUAGUAUCUACUGCAACCUGAAUUGAAUUCUUUUUACAGCGCAACUAUGAUGUUUCUCUGCCUCAUAACAACAUUCCUGAUGCACUUUGUCAACUAGCUAAGACACACGCUGCCAUUGCAAUGCCUGCAGGGGAGGAGUUCCGUCCAGAGGGUGCUAUUGUAAACUAUUUUGGCUUAGGUAGAGUUAUCUUUAAAACUUGUAUUCCAAUGCAUUAGAUUAAUUUUAAAAGAAUGUUGAACAUUUGAGGAUUUAUUUGACUUCACUCUUUAGGUGAUACCCUUGGAGGCCAUCUUGAUGACAUGGAAGCUGACUGGAGUAAACCAAUAGUAAGCAUGAGGUAUACAUCUUUGCCUUGUGUUUUUUAAGCAAAACUUAAUAGCGCAAUAGAGUGACUGUGUUUCAUCUUACGCAGCUUGGGGUGUAAAGCUAUUUUCCUCUUAGGAGGAAAAUCAAAAGAGGAUCCUCCUCAUGCUAUGUAUCUCAGAAGUGGAGAUGUUGUACUGAUGGCUGGAAAAGCCAGGGAAUGCUUUCACGGUAAACCUACUUCAUUUGCAUUACCAGCUUACCUGUGUUUUUUACAAGAAAAAAAUCCUUAGUUUUCUCAUUUUCUCUCACUGUUUGGUCUGAGAUGAUAUCUGUUGAUGCUGCAGGCGUGCCCCGUAUCUUCAUUGAUGAAGAAAAUGCAGAUAUUGGCGCACUUGAAUCAGAAUUGUCCCAUGAAAAUGGAGAUUUUAUCGCAGAGUACAUCAAAACUUCGAGGAUCAACAUAAACAUCAGGCAAGUUUUCUGAGUUACCUGAAUCCACCUGAUGGUCUGCCAAAGUAUCUGUAUUAGCAUCGAGCCAGAGGUUUUUGAGAAGCAGCCUUCUUCUUCUGUUUCACUACUUUGAGUUUUCUAUGUUCUUAGGAUUCAGACAGAACUAAAGUAAGAUUCAUACACUAUUUAGCAAAUGGUGUAUUAUUAUUUACAAGUUUUGAAAAUUAAAAAAAAACAAAGUAAUCAGUUUAUAGAUAUUGUUAUUGGCUCUAGGUCUCUCUGCCUGGCGCUUCUUUCAACAUUGCUAUGAACUAGGGUUUAUAGAGCCGGUUUAGCGGGUGUGUUAGCUGGCUUGCUAGGCAAGGUAGGUAUGCUCUGUUCAUCUCUAAAGAAAUUCUCAGGAUCCACAGUACUUUUCACCUUCACCAACCGAUCAAAAUUCUCUCCAAAAUACUUCCUCCCAUAAACCUCUCCUUCUCUGUAACUAUUCGGACCAUGAGUAUUAACUCCAAU